rnacentral:rRNA from 1 species
AUUGAACGCUGGCGGCAUGCCUUACACAUGCAAGUCGAACGGUAACAGGUCUUCGGAUGCUGACGAGUGGCGAACGGGUGAGUAAUACAUCGGAACGUGCCUAGUAGUGGGGGAUAACUACUCGAAAGAGUGGCUAAUACCGCAUGAGAUCUACGGAUGAAAGCAGGGGAUCGCAAGACCUUGUGCUACUAGAGCGGCCGAUGGCAGAUUAGGUAGUUGGUGGGAUAAAAGCUUACCAAGCCGACGAUCUGUAGCUGGUCUGAGAGGACGAUCAGCCACAAUGGGACGGAGACACGGCCAAGACUCCGACGGGAGGCAGCAGUGGGGAAUUUUGGCAAAUGGGCGCGAGCCUGAUCCAGCAAUGCCGCGUGCAGGAUGAAGGCCUUCGGGUUGUAAACUGCUUUUGUACGGAACGAAAAGCCCCGGGUUAAUACCCUGGGGUCAUGACGGUACCGUAAGAAUAAGCACCGGCUAACUACGUGCCAGCCGCCGCCGUAA